CUUUCUCCGCCGGCGACCGGCGCACGGGUGAGUAACACGUAUGCAACCUGCCCCUGUCAGGGGGACAACCCGCCGAAAGGCGGGCUAAACCCGCGUACAUGCCACCGGGGCAUCCCGGAGGCAGGAAAGGCUUCGGGCCGGACAGGGAUGGGCAUGCGGCGCAUUAGGCAGUAGGCGGGGUAACGGCCCACCUAACCGACGAUGCGUAGGGGUUCUGAGAGGAAGGUCCCCCACACUGGUACUGAGACACGGACCAGACUCCUACGGGAGGCAGCAG
rnacentral:rRNA from 1 species